rnacentral:sRNA from 1 species
GCCAGGCAUGGUGGCUCACGCCUGUAAUCCCAGCACUUUGGGAGGCUGAGGCAGGCGGAUCACCUGAGGUCGGGAGUUCGAGACCAGCCUGACCAAUAAGGUGAAACCCUGUCUCUA